AAUGGGGGAAACCCUGAUCCAGCCAUGCCGCGUGAGUAAAGAAGGCCUUAGGGUUGUAAAACUCUUUCACCUGUGAAGAUGAUGACGGUAGCAGGAGAGGAAGCCCCGGCUAACUCCGUGCCAGCAGCCGCGGUAAUACGGAGGGGGCAAGCGUUGUUCGGAAUUACUGGGCGUAAAGGGCGCGUAGGCGGCUAUAAUAGUCAGGCGUGAAAGCCCCGGGCUUAACCUGGGUACUGCGUUUGAUACUGUAUAGCUAGAGAUUGGAAGAGGAGAGUGGAAUUCCAAGUGUAGAGGUGAAAUUCGUAGAUAUUUGGAAGAACACCAGUGGCGAAGGCGGCUCUCUGGUCCACAUCUGACGCUGAGGCGCGAAAGCGUGGGGAGCAAACAGGAUU
rnacentral:rRNA from 1 species